rnacentral:rRNA from 1 species
GACGAACCGAGCGAACGUUGUUCGGAAUCACUGGGCUUAAAGGGCGCGUAGGCGGGCUGCCGCGUCCGGGGUGAAAGCCUCCCGCUCAACGGGAGAACGGCCUCGGAUACGGGCGGCCUCGAGGGGGGUAGGGGCGUGCGGAACUGUGGGUGGAGCGGUGAAAUGCGUUGAUAUCCACAGGAACUCCGGUGGCGAAGGCGGCACGCUGGACCCCAUCUGACGCUGAGGUGCGAAAGCGUGGGGAGCAAACAGG